UCGAGUGCCAGGUUACAAAUCUGGCUGUCGUGAUGCCUAAAAAGCAUUAUAUAGCAAGGGCCGGGCAAGACCGGUGCCAGCCGCCGCGGUAACACCGGCGGCUCGAGUGGUAACCGUUAUUAUUGGGUCUAAAGGGUCUGUAGCCGGCCGGAUAAGUCUCUUGGGAAAUCUGGCAGCUAACUGUCAGGCUUUCAGGGGAUACUGUCUGGCUCGAGGCCGGGAGAGGUGAGAGGUACUUCAGGGGUAGGGGUGAAAUCUUGUAAUCCUUGAAGGACCACCAGUGGCGAAGGCGUCUCACCAGAACGGACCUGACGGCAAGGGACGAAAGCUAGGGGCACGAACCGGAUUAGAUACCCGGGUAGUCCUAGCCGUAAACGAUACUCGCUAGGUGUCGGCCACGGUGCGACCGUUGUCGGUGCCGUAGGGAAGCCGUGAAGCGAGCCACCUGGGAAGUACGGCCGCAAGGCUGAAACUUAAAGGAAUUGGCG
rnacentral:rRNA from 1 species